rfam:Gossypium arboreum cultivar AKA8401 contig_1359_11, whole genome shotgun sequence.
AACCCAUGGUGAGGGCACAUUCUCAAUAAAUCCUUGCAUCUCUCUCAUGCAUCAUAUAAGGUCUCUAAGUUGAUCCGGACAAAGGAAGUGAUAUCAUUCCUCAACUU